GAUCUGCGUGAGGUAGAGAAUGUCAGGGAAAGGAGCAAAUGGGUUGUUGACGUGGAAAACUCCGGCUUCGAAAGACAAGGAUAAGGACAAGAAGAAACCCAUCACUCGCUCUUCCCGCGCCGGGCUUUAGAAAGACAAUAUAAGGAAUCAACGUGAGCAUGUUGUGCUUACUUUAGCCAACUCACAGUCGCGACUGGGCAUCCAAUAGAAACUGAUCUAGUUACUGCCUCAAUUAAGUUUGCUUGUAAGUUAUGUUUCAAUGUAAUAUAGGAUGAUGAGCAAUGUUUCAAUGUAAUAUAGGAUGAUGAACAAUGUUUCAAUAGGAUGAUGUUUGAUUUUAAUGUAUGAAUUCUAUUAUUAAUUUA